rnacentral:rRNA from 1 species
GACGAACGCUGGCGGCGUGCUUAACACAUGCAAGUCGAGCGGUAAGGCCCUUUCGGGGGUACACGAGCGGCGAACGGGUGAGUAACACGUGGGUGACCUGCCCUCAGCUCUGGGAUAAGCCUGGGAAACCGGGUCUAAUACUGGAUAUGACUCCAUGACGCAUGUUGUGGGGUGGAAAGCCUUGUGCGGCUGAGGAUGGGCCCGCGGCCUAUCAGCUUGUUGGUGGGGGAUGGCCUACCAAGGCGACGACGGGUAGCCGGCCUGAGAGGGCGACCGGCCACACUGGGACUGAGACACGGCCCAGACUCCUACGGGAGGCAGCAGUGGGGAAUCUUGCGCAAUGGGCGAAAGCCUGACGCAGCGACGCCGCGU